rnacentral:rRNA from 1 species
UAAGCAUAUCAAUAAGCGGAGGAAAAGAAACCAACAGGGAUUGCCUCAGUAACGGCGAGUGAAGCGGCAACAGCUCAAAUUUGAAAUCUGGCCCCAGGCCCGAGUUGUAAUUUGCAGAGGAUGUUUCUGGCGAGGUGCCUUCCGAGUGCCCUGGAACGGGACGCCAUAGAGGGUGAGAGCCCCGUACGGUUGGUCGCUAAGCCUCUGUGAAACUCCUUCGACGAGUCGAGUAGUUUGGGAAUGCUGCUCUAAAUGGGAGGUAUACGUCUUCUAAAGCUAAAUACCGGCCAGAGACCGAUAGCGCACAAGUAGAGUGAUCGAAAGAUGAAAAGCACUUUGAAAAGAGGGUUAAAUAGUACGUGAAAUUGUUGAAAGGGAAGCGCUCAUGACCAGACUUGGGCCGGUUGAUCAUCCGCCGUUCUCGGCGGUGCACUCUGCCGGCUCAGGCCAGCAUCAGUUUGGUCCGGGGGAUAAAGGCGUAGGGAAUGUGGCUCCCCCCGGGGAGUGUUAUAGCCCUGCGCGUAAUACCCUGGGCUGGACUGAGGUUCGCGCAUCUGCAAGGAUGCUGGCGUAAUGGUUAUCAGUGACCCGUCUUGAAACACGGACCAAGGAGUCGUCUUCGUAUGCGAGUGUUCGGGUGUCAAACCCCUACGCGUAAUGAAAGUGAACGUAGGAGAGAGCUUCGGCGCAUCUCCGACCGAUCCUGAUGUUCUCGGAUGGAUUUGAGUAAGAGCAUACGGGGCCGGACCCGAAAGAAGGUGAACUAUGCCUGUAUAGGGUGAAGCCAGAGGAAACUCUGGUGGAGGCUCGCAGCGGUUCUGACGUGCAAAUCGAUCGUCAAAUAUGGGCAUGGGGGCGAAAGACUAA